CCCUUUUCUCUUGUGUUGUCUGAUCAAGUCUAGAACUCAACGGAGGCAGUUGGUACGUUUCUCUUUUUCUGAGAAAGCUAUGCAGCCUUCAAGGUUCUAUGUGGAGUCAGACCAGCUCCAGGAUUGAGACAGCACCCUUUGUAAGAAACAGUCUUCAGAUGGGGUAAUACAUCUGAAUCUAGGGAGGAGUUCAAUUUCUAGAGCAUGGAACCCUUAAUCUUUGUCAUCUCACAUAUCUGGCAGUGACCUUUCCAAAUGUGUCUGGUCGAAGGUGGUGGAAGGCUGUUUGAGACACUUCGAAAAGCGUGGUGGAAUCCUGUUUAUUUGGAACUUUAGUAGGCUGGGGCUCUUUACUUCUAUACAGUACUGGCUUCUCGAAGAUGCACCUGUCUUUAUCACCAAGACCUGUGUUUACUGGAUUACAUGGCAAAAGAGUGAUGUUGAGAACCACUGCCCUAGUGUCUACAUCGUAAGACCAGUUACCAUCACCACAGCCUCUGCCGCCGCCACCACCCCUUCUACAAAUAUCAAAUAUCUUGGCUCUCAUGUUGGAAGGUUUUAUAUUUUGAAAUUCACUGGAAAAGGUUCAACGUGCCAGAUCUAAGCAUUGGCCUGGCUUCAUUCUGAGCAAUCCGAGCAACAAAUUCAAAUGUGGGAAUCGUCAUUUGCUGUGCACUUUUGGGAAGCAGAGACCAUGACUGAGGUUCACAUCGAUGUCCGGCAUGUCUAAUGAUGGAUACUUAUUAAUGCCCAUGGAACAUCUGCUAAAAUAUAGUGGAUGACCUGCGUGACUAGAAUGUUUUCACGACAUUAACGGUAAUGGCAGUCAUGUAGAAGACACUGGAAAAGGUCAGAAUUCUCUUGGCCCAAAAUACAAGUAUUUUAGGGUUGAUAAGAAAAUGGUCUUUCAAACUGAUGAAUUAUUACUAAGUACAACCUGUCAGCAGCUCAAGACUACAUAAACACUGGCUGAGAAACAAAACCAUGGUGAUAGCAUUCAAGAGCUCAAGAAUUACAUAGUUCCGUGCAUUAGUCACUAGUCUUACAUAGGCAUUUAUAUUAAUUAAAAUGUAAAAAUUCAGAUCUUAGGUCUCACGAGCUACAUGCUCAGUGCCAGCUUCAAUAUGUGCUGUGUCCUGGCCACAGUCCUUUCUUGCCUAGAAACUGUAAUGUCAGCCUUAGAAGUCUGCAUGUCUCCACCUUGCCACAUUGCCAGUUACUCUCAAGUCUAUAGCUAGUGCAUCCUAUAAAAAACAUGGCUCUGAUGACAUUACUCUGGAAUCCAGUGAUCCCACUCAUAGUGCAAGCUGAACUCUAUAGAAUGACUUUAUCUGGCUCCUGGCUGCUCUCUGUUCUCCACCCACCCCUUCCCUGUCGCUCCCACUCUUCCUUCUGCCUAGACACACUGUUCCAAGAUGAUCUCUGGCUCACAUCCCGUCAAAGUCUUCAUUCAAAAGAAUACCUUGCCAGAAAGGAUACUCUGCCCAUCCCAGAGGAUAUGAUACAGUACUACCCUACGUAUAACAACAUAUGACAUCAUACUCUGUCAUCUUAAUUUGACAUCAAAUGUGCAAAUGUCAACUUCAUGCAUAUUUUAGAACGUCACUAGAGCUGCACUAAGCUUAACCCAAAAGAAUUCAAAGAGAACUAUUCUGGUAAACGAUGCUAAACUUGGGUUGUAAUCGUGGCUUUGGGAAACAAAAUUCUUAAGAGUAAAAUUGGUCCAUUUGGGGCACAUGAUGGAAUGCUCUGAGAAGCUUUAGAAACUUAACUGUUUACAUGUAACUUUUUUCAUCCUUGAAGCCUUGAAGUUUAUAAUUGACGAACUAGCUGAAACAGUUGAGAAACCCACAGGAAAAAUGGGUGUGCAUUCCUGUUCUUUGUUUGUUUCCAGGGCUUUCUGUUUCCUCCACCUACUGUCAGGUCUGCCCAGGGGAGCCCUUUGCAUUUCCCAAAGCCCUGUUCCUGCACACAUUCGAUGCUUGCACCACAAUUAUUUAUGUGUUUAUUUUGCUGAAUGCAAAAUGAAUCCCUUAAAAUUAAAGCCGUGUCUUUGUUACCUUGGAGUCCCCGUGGCACUGUAUGUGGAUUGCUCAUUAAAUAUUUACUGGAAUGACA